rnacentral:rRNA from 1 species
UACAGAGGUCUCAAGCGUUGUUCGGAUUCAUUGGGCGUAAAGGGUGCGUAGGCGGCGCGGUAAGUCGGGUGUGAAAUUUCGGAGCUUAACUCCGAAACUGCAUUCGAUACUGCCGUGCUCGAGGACUGGAGAGGAGACUGGAAUUUACGGUGUAGCAGUGAAAUGCGUAGAUAUCGUAAGGAAGACCAGUGGCGAAGGCGGGUCUCUGGACAGUUCCUGACGCUGAGGCACGAAGGCCAGGGGAGCGAACGGG